UACGUAGGGUGCAAGCGUUGUCCGGAAUUAUUGGGCGUAAAGAGCUCGUAGGCGGUCUGUCGCGUCGGCUGUGAAAACCCGGAGCUCAACUCCGGGCCUGCAGUCGAUACGGGCAGACUGGAGUUCGGCAGGGGAGACUGGAAUUCCUGGUGUAGCGGUGGAAUGCGCAGAUAUCAGGAGGAACACCGGUGGCGAAGGCGGGUCUCUGGGCCGUUACUGACGCUGAGGAGCGAAAGCGUGGGGAGCGAACAGG
rnacentral:rRNA from 1 species